AUUGAACGCUGGCGGCAGGCCUAACACAUGCAAGUCGAGCGGAUGAGAAGAGCUUGCUCUUCGAUUCAGCGGCGGACGGGUGAGUAAUGCCUAGGAAUCUGCCUGGUAGUGGGGGACAACGUUUCGAAAGGAACGCUAAUACCGCAUACGUCCUACGGGAGAAAGCAGGGGACCUUCGGGCCUCGCGCUAUCAGAUGAGCCUAGGUCGGAUUAGCUAGUUGGUGAGGUAAUGGCUCACCAAGGCGACGAUCCGUAACUGGUCUGAGAGGAUGAUCAGUCACACUGGAACUGAGACACGGUCCAGACUCCUACGGGAGGCAGCAGUGGGGAAUAUUAGACAAUGGGCGAAAGCCUGAUCCAGCCAUGCCGCGUGUGUGAAGAAGGUCUUCGGAUUGUAAAGCACUUUAAGUUGGGAGGAAGGGCAGUAAGUUAAUACCUUGCUGUUUUGACGUUACCGACAGAAUAAGCACCGGCUAACUCUGUGCCAGCCGCCGCGGUAACAC
rnacentral:rRNA from 1 species